AUAGUCAGCUAGGGGUGCCGCAAGGCUGAGAGAGAGCAAUCUCGACCCUCUGAACCUGAUCUGGGUAAUGCCAGCGUAGGGAAGCGGAAAAGCUGUAUC
rnacentral:ncRNA from 2 species